CCUUACAUGUUGACUGACUGACGAGGCCUUACAUGUUGACUGACUGACGAGGCCUUACAUGUUGACUGACUGACGAGGCCUUACAUGUUGACUGCCUAUCUAUUGUAGACGAAGAAAUUAUAAACACGUGUCGUAUUUUGGAGUGCCCACGUACGCCUCCUCUUGUGCGUCAUGACACCAAUCCGUAAAAAACAAUUCAAUUUUAGAGUUUUAAUUAACAAAAUCUUAAUUACUUCUAUUCAAACAACAACGUGACAUCAGCCGAACGAGUUCUUUUAUUUAUUUGACCAUACCAACAAGACUUACCAAACUAAUUGUCCUAGGCAGAACGCAUUCGACUGCUCUUUGCACUCAACUACUUCUUGAGGCUAAUGAUGCACACAAAGCUAACGACAAUGUUCGCACUGAUUCUUGUAACAAUGGCUUUGUUCAACAUAGCCAGCAGUCAUACCAAAUCCAAUUAUGUUGUUAUAGUGGAUGCAGGAGGCUCAAGCUCAAAGCUCAGGGUGUAUACUUGUGUCAAAAACAAACACUUCCACGUUUCAGACGUUGAGCUGAACUUUACGAAAACCUUUCCUCCAGGGAUCAGCAGUUUCCAUAACAAUGAAACAGCCUUAAAGAUUUAUCUCAAGAACAUAAUAGAAGAGGCUAAAAACAUAGUGCCAGAGGAACAAAUGAAAUCAACAUCUUUGUACUUGAUGGGAAC
rnacentral:sRNA from 1 species